rnacentral:rRNA from 1 species
ACCUGCGGAAGGAUCAUUAUUGAAUAAACUUGAACAGGCUGUUGCUGGCUCUCUCUCUUGAGGAUAUGUGCACGCUUGUCAUCUUUAUCUUCUCCAACUGUGCAUCUAUUGUAGACCUGGGAGUUUUUCUGGUUAUAUAUCGAAUGAGGACUGCUGUGCUUUUGAAGUCAGCUCUGCCUUGCAUUUCCAGGUCUAUGUUUAUCUCUUCACAAACCAUGUGUUUUAGAAUGUUGAAUUGGGAAAUAUAAAUAUACAACUUUCAGCAACGGAUCUCUUGGCUCUCGCAUCGAUGAAGAACGCAGCGAAAUGCGAUAAGUAAUGUGAAUUGCAGAAUUCAGUGAAUCAUCGAAUCUUUGAACGCAUCUUGCGCUCCUUGGUAUUCCGAGGAGCAUACCUGUUUGAGUGUCAUUUAACUUCUCAACUGUGCUCCAAAUUGGCAUGGCUUGGAUGUGGGGGUUUUUUUGCAGGCUUCUGGAAAUGAAGUUGGCUCCCCUGAAAUGAAUUAGUAGUAUCUGAGCAGAAACUUACAGGUGUGAUAAAUUAUCUAUGCCUUUGGUACCUCUGCAUUGAACCAGAUUGCACUGCUUUCUGAACUUUGAACCAUUUUGAAAAAUUUGACCUCNAAUCAGGUAGGACUACCCGCUGAACUUAAGCAUAU